CCUACGGGUGGCAGCAGUGAGGAAUAUUGGUCAAUGGGCGUAAGCCUGAACCAGCCAAGUCGCGUGAGUGAUGAAGGUUCUAUGGAUCGUAAACCUCUUUUAUAAGGGAGUAAAAUGCGGGACUUGUCGAGUUUUGUAUGUCCCUUAUGAAUAAGGAUCGGCUACCUACGUGCCAGCAGCCGCGGUAAUAAGGAGGAUCCGAUCGUUGUCCGGAUUGCUUGGGUGUAAAGGGUGCGUAGGCGGCCUUUUAAGUCAGCGGUGAAAGGCUGUGGCCCAACCAUAGAAUUGCCGUGGAAACUGGGAGGCUUGAGUGUGUUUGAGGCAGGUGGAAUGCGUGGGGUAGCGGGGAAAUGCUUAGAUAUCACGAAGAACCCCGAUUGCGAAGGCAGCCUGCCAAGCCAUGACUGACGCUGAUGCACGAAAGCGUGGGGAUCAAACAGGAGUAGAUACCCGAGUAGUC
rnacentral:rRNA from 1 species